UCUUCCAUAGAAGCUUUCAUUGUUAGAAUUCACGACACUGAAUCACCGAUCCCUUUUCCCGCCGACCGCGGCGGCGAUGGCAGCGGAGGCGAUGGAAGCUACGGCGAAUUCACUCGUUCUAUCUCUCACGACUACUGCUCCACGGUCAGUUCUCAAACUAUCGACAAUGAUGUUUGGUCUUUGCUUCAUUUGCUAGCUGAGUGCGCCUGGGCGAGUUCGAUAGAAGGAUGGAUCUUUGAGGCGUGUGAUCCACUUUUCCUAGAUUUGCAUCCUGAUCGGUUGUGGCUGUCCGGAGCAGUUCCAGUCGCUGGCCCCCCAUCAGCACGUAGAGCCAGUUCUCUGCUGGUUUGAGUCUUAUUGAUAUUUUGGCUUUUUCCAUAUAGAACGUUGUCUUAUUCUGGUUUUGGAUCUUUAUUUAUGGAAUGUGUAUGGAUUAUUUUUGUUUGAUGAACUCUUGAUGUGAUUUUUGGAUUCUA